rnacentral:lncRNA from 1 species
UUAAUGUUCGAGUAGAAGAUCAUGUUUUUGUUCCGGACAUUGAUCAUUCUGACAUUACAAACCCUGAUCAAUUUAUAGAAGACUAUACGUCAAACAUAGCUAACACUCUAAUGGACAUGUCCAGACCUUUAUGGGAAUUUCAUGUACUGAAUAUAAAGACAUCAAACGCAGAAUCUUUAGGUAUAGGGAAGUUCCAUCAUUCACUCGGCGAUGGGAUGUCUCUUAUGUCUCUUCUAUAUGCUAGUUCAAGAAAAAUAUCAGACCCCAACGCUCUACCUACUACUGCGACUACAAGAAAACAAGUUGGUUCCAAUGAUAAUUGGUGGCUGGUUGCCAGAUUUUUGCUUAUGAUUAGAGUCAUUUUUACAACUUUUAUUGAACUGUUCAAGUCCCUCCUUACACUAUGUUUUAUGCGGGAUACUAAAACUCCUCUCAUGGGUAAACCUGGAGAUCGAAAUGGACCUAGAAAGAUUAUCCAUCGGAUAGUAAGCUUUGAUGAUGUCAAGUUCGUGAAGAACACAAUGAAAAUGGUAGAUAUAUUAGUACUUUUUAUCAGUUCUACUUGUCUUGAUCAUUAGUCGUUUUCUAAACAAAUUAUGCCUCAUUGUAGAAAGUCAAUGAUGUUCUUCUUGGAAUAACACAGGCAGGUCUCUCAAGAUAUUUAAGAAAAAAAUAUGGUAAUUUCAGACUCAUUCUUUCAUUAUAGUGCUAUUGGCCUUAUAUAAUCAACAUGUUACAAUGUUACCCAAGUAUCUGUAUGUUAAACAGAUGUAAAGCCUGAGAAAUAAAAGAGUGAAUAUAUGAUCCAAUGUAUAUUGAUACUACACUAUUAGUUUUUUUUGUAAUAUAUCAUUAACAAUAAUCUUUAAUAUUUUAAAAACAAGGUGACGAUCCAGUGACUGAGAAGAAAAAAUCCUUAGAGGAAACACGUCUCCGGGGUACAAUAGCUGUAAAUCUAAGACCAGAAACAAAGAUCAAGGUAAAAUAAGUAUUACAACGAUCUUAUAGUUGCAUCUUACAAAACGAUAUGUUUUACGAUAAUUAGAGUGCAAUAACUUGAUAAAAUUAAAUAUGAAACUGUAGGAUCUUGCUGAUAUGAUGACAAAAGGUUCAAAAUGUAGAUGGGGUAAUUUCAUAGGUGUUGUUAUAUUUCCUUUAUGGAUAAGAUCUGAGGAUGAUCCAUUGGAAUACGUCCGGAGAGCCAAAGCUACUAUGGAUAAGAAAAAAAUCUCCAUGGAAGCACUUGUGUUAUAUGGAUUCAUCAAAUUUACAAUGAAAAUAUUUGGCGUAAAGGUAAAAUAUCAAGCUAUUUCAUCCAUAUAUGUAUACUUUAUGUAAGUAAAAAGAAUGUACAACUUUUAAUGACAGGCCGUAGAAGCUAUCACUAAGAGGGUAUUUAGCCAUACAACGCUGACAUUUUCUAAUGUGUUGGGUCCAAACGAAGAUAUAAGUUUCUUUGAACAUCCCAUGUGUUACGUCGGAGCAAGCGCAUUGAUUGGACCACAAGUAAGUAUAAGUCUAUAAUCAUGUCAUUCUAGUACUUGCAUAUUAAAUCUGUUUUUUUUCCUUUCUGAAAUCAUAUACAAGUACUUGCUGACAUUUAAUAAAUGUGUUUACGUUUGUGGUUGGACUAGGCUCUUAUCAUCCAUUAUGUAAGCUACGCAGACAAGAUUAUCAUCAAUCUAGCUGUCGAUACAACAGUGAUUCCAGACCCUCAUGUACUAUGUGAUAAUUUGGUAGAGUCGCUUGAAAUCAUCAAACUUUCUCUCUUGGAGAAAGGACUUCAUAAAAUGGAGGUUUGAGACGUUCACGCGAUAUAAAAAUGGAAGUCUACGUUAAAAAGAUAACAUGUGGUGAAAUGUACUAUGUUAGCUUUUGUAUUUGUUAUGAUGUUGUGUUUAUUAUAUUAUAUAUAUACAUAUUCUACUUUGGUAGUAUAAACUUUUUAUUUGUAUACGAAAAAAGCAGACAUGUAGCAUUUACACAAGACGACCAAACGUAGACCACAAGCACCACUAACAUAUAUAUUUACAUAAUCAAUACCUAUUUUCAUCAGCAAACAGAAUUCGAUUCCCUUUUGCCUUGGAAUUAAAGGAACUGUUCAAGGGCUUGUGUACCAUUGCUGUUCAAGAGCUUCAUCAUGAAGUUAAACCUGGUGUCUGGAGAUGUCUUUGGUUGUGGCCAAUUUGCUCCUUCAGGGAUCUUGAUGCAUCUGUAACUUUGAUCUUUAUAAAGUUUCGUGGCCUCCGUAUAGCUCGACAUCCCCAGUUCGUGGCUUAACCCUCUGCUUUCCAGAUCAGUACUCUCGUAUCUGGAGAUGCCUUUGGUUGUGGCCAAUUUACUAACUGUCACAGCGACUAAACAUAUCCCUCUGGUAGGCACCCUGGUGGAACGGAGAAACCCAUUAUCAUCGCCAUCAACCUAUCAACUCUGAGGACAAGAUCAAGAGGGAACGAAUGUCCAGGGAAGAAGGAGGUGCAAUGUGUUUCUGCCACUUCCCACCAGUCCUCCACUCUAUCUUCCCGGACAACAAUUUCAGGUGAAACCACUGGGAAAAGAUCAAGUACAAACCUAAAAGAAAAGAACAACUUUAUCGUCUACUGACGAAUCAAAUCAUGUCGUAUGUUAAAGGAUGGGAGCUUUCAUGGAUCAUCAAUUACGACUAGAAGCGAUCUCUUCGAAUGAGACUCCCCCUUCCAUCUAUCAGUCAAAUUCUGUCUGUCCUCAGAACUUACAUGACUCUACUCUCCAGACAUAAAAAACAGUUUUGUUUGCUAUCCUGAUGUAUCUUGGGUAGAUAAUUAGCACUCUGCAGGCAUAGUCUGGGGCUUUAAAAGACUCCUGUAAUAAAAUCCUGCUUCAGGGAUCAGCUUCAACUGAUGCUACAGAUACAGUUUCAAUUUUGUUGGUGUAAGGUAAUGUUUUGUGGAAACUGCUCAGCUCUUUUUGUGGAGACUGUUCAGAAGCUGAUAGACUUGCAACUCAAGCUAGAACAGGAAAAUAACCAUAUGUUGUAAAGUGGAUCACAUAAAUAUUUGUCUGAGUCUGUUUGUACAACACUUAUAUAAGUUUCUCUAUAAAUAAUAAUAAUAUUUAAGGUUUAACUAUAAUUAGAAUUGUAACUCGAUCAAAAUCAAAGCCCGUGAAAUCUAACUCGUUGUUCUCUAGAACUCAGUCUAGUAGCAGCUAACGGAGAGUCAUAGAUCAUAAUGCCUUAGGUCAAACCUGAUUUGCUAGACGGAGUUUGAGAAACAGAAACCGUCGGCGAGAGAAGCCAUGACGGUUUUGCUUGAUCAAAGCUGAUGGGGAUAGCUCCGUCGUCCCCAUUCCCCAACGGCGUGCUCUGCAUUUCUCACCGCACUAUUACGGAGAUGGCAACAACAAAACCGGACGGUUCAACCGGUUCAAUUCGUUAGUAAGAAUCUUGAAAAAAUUACAAUAUGACAUACUUUUUCGUUCUCUACUAGGUGAUUUUCCAGUGAUUAUGCAUGGAUAUAAAUAUUUUUAAAGUAAAUAUAUUAUAAUAAUUGAUUGUUAAUUACUUUUAAUUUUAAAUUAAUUUAUAAUUGAGUAUUUGCAUGCUAUAUACAAGAAAAACUAUUUAAUUAGCUAACCGGUAUAUGCGACUGUUUAGUACUGUUAUUUUUUCGUUAUUUCCAAUUGUAUCCCUCUAUUAUAGCCACUGCACAAUAUUAUUUCUCGCAUUUAGGACAACACACAAUCAUCUCUUUCCUCUUUGAUUCAUCACCGUAAAUAAACAAAGACAACACACAGAAAAAAUAAAUCAUUGAUAACUUAAGACACGAGUUGGUGUACAUUUUCUAAUCGUGAGAUGAUCAAUGGCAGAGAGAUGCUUAUUAAUUCCAGUAAAGUUGCAGCACACCAAGAAUCAUUUGACAGAGAAGCCAUGUCUUGUGAUCCUAGCUUGAGUGGCUUAGGUUCAGAUAGCUUACAAGUUAAGUAAAUAAAUCGCCUAAAAUAGAAAUAAGAAUCCUCACUUCUUUUUUUUAACGCUGAUAAGAAUCUUCACGUUAUCUUCUAAUCCUGUAUAUUAAAAGAUAAACAUUAUAACAUUUAAGGUAGUCAUGUGUCAUCACCACAAUGAGUCUUAAAAUCUUUAGAAAAAUAUAUUGGUUCAUCUAAAUAUAUAAUAAGUUUUUUAUUAAACUAACCAUAAAUUCAUUAUUAAUGUCUUUCACUUUUUCUUUAAAUAAAAACUACGGAAUUACCAAAUGUAGCUAAAGUAUAUAUAUGAAAAUUAAUGAUUUUGAAUAAUAAAUAUUUGAUAAAAGUUAGUGUAUUCUCUAUCAUAUUUGUUUAAUUUUAAAUUAAUAAAAUAAAUUAAACAACUACAUUAACCAUAUAAUAAAAUUUAUAUUUUUCUUUAUAUGUUAUAUUUGAUUUUUUAAACGAUUAUAAAUUACUACUCUCUUUUAUCUAUUUAUUUAUUUAAUAAACUAUGCGUAAUCAUCUAUUUGAUCAUAAAUAAAUGUUUCAGGUGAUGGACGAUAAGAAAAAUGGAGAAGCGGUUUGGGUUCCUGUUAAUGUUCGAGUAGAAGAUCAUGUUUUUGUUCCGGACAUUGAUCAUUCUGACAUUACAAACCCUGAUCAAUUUAUAGAAGACUAUACGUCAAACAUAGCUAACACUCUAAUGGACAUGUCCAGACCUUUAUGGGAAUUUCAUGUACUGAAUAUAAAGACAUCAAACGCAGAAUCUUUAGGUAUAGGGAAGUUCCAUCAUUCACUUGGCGAUGGGAUGUCUCUUAUGUCUCUUCUAUAUGCUAGUUCAAGAAAAAUAUCAGACCCCAACGCUCUAC